UUGAUUUGGUCGCCAACGAGUGGCGGACGGGUGAGUAACACGUAGGUAACCUGCCCAGAAGCGGGGGACAACAUUUGGAAACAGAUGCUAAUACCGCAUAACAACGUUGUUCGCAUGAACAACGCUUAAAAGAUGGCUUCUCGCUAUCACUUCUGGAUGGACCUGCGGUGCAUUAGCUUGUUGGUGGGGUAAUGGCCUACCAAGGCGAUGAUGCAUAGCCGAGUUGAGAGACUGAUCGGCCACAAUGGGACUGAGACACGGCCCAUACUCCUACGGGAGGCAGCAGUAGGGAAUCUUCCACAAUGGGCGCAAGCCUGAUGGAGCAACACCGCGUGAGUGAAGAAGGGUUUCGGCUCGUAAAGCUCUGUUGUUAAAGAAGAACACGUAUGAGAGUAACUGUUCAUACGUUGACGGUAUUUAACCAGAAAGUCACGGCUAACUACGUGCCAGCAGCCGCGGUAAUACGUAGGUGGCAAGCGUUAUCCGGAUUUAUUGGGCGUAAAGAGAGUGCAGGCGGUUUUCUAAGUCUGAUGUGAAAGCCUUCGGCUUAACCGGAGAAGUGCAUCGGAAACUGGAUAACUUGAGUGCAGAAGAGGGUAGUGGAACUCCAUGUGUAGCGGUGGAAUGCGUAGAUAUAUGGAAGAACACCAGUGGCGAAGGCGGCUACCUGGUCUGCAACUGACGCUGAGACUCGAAAGCAUGGGUAGCGAACAGGAUUAGAUACCCUGGUAGUCCAUGCCGUAAACGAUGAGUGCUAGGUGUUGGAGGGUUUCCGCCCUUCAGUGCCGGAGCUAACGCAUUAAGCACUCCGCCUGGGGAGUACGACCGCAAGGUUGAAACUCAAAGGAAUUGACGGGGGCCCGCACAAGCGGUGGAGCAUGUGGUUUAAUUCGAAGCUACGCGAAGAACCUUACCAGGUCUUGACAUCUUGCGCCAACCCUAGAGAUAGGGCGUUUCCUUCGGGAACGCAAUGACAGGUGGUGCAUGGUCGUCGUCAGCUCGUGUCGUGAGAUGUUGGGUUAAGUCCCGCAACGAGCGCAACCCCUUGUU
rnacentral:rRNA from 2 species